rnacentral:rRNA from 1 species
AUACGGAGGGUGCAAGCGUUAAUCGGAAUUACUGGGCGUAAAGCGCGCGUAGGCGGUUUGAUAAGUCGGAUGUGAAAUCCCCGGGCUCAACCUGGGAAUUGCAUUCGAUACUGUCAGGCUAGAGUGUGCUAGAGGGAAGUGGAAUUUCCGGUGUAGCGGUGAAAUGCGUAGAUAUCGGAAGGAACACCAGUGGCGAAGGCGGCUUCCUGGACCAACACUGACGCUGAGGUGCGAAAGCGUGGGGAGCAAACAGCAUUAGAUACCCUAGUAGUCC